GCCUGGGUGGCUCAGUCGGUUGGGCGUCCAACUUUGGAUCAGGUCAUGACCUCGUGGUCUGUGGGUUCAAGCCCCGCGUCAGGCU
rnacentral:tRNA from 1 species